rnacentral:rRNA from 1 species
AACGCUGGCGGCGUGCCUGACACAUGCAAGUCGGACGGUUCUUGCACCUUCAAGCUUGCUUGCUGGUGCAAGGAUAGUGGCGGACGGGUGAGUAACGCGUGAACAUCUACCCAUUGGAGGGGGACAACCCGUCGAAAGGCGGGCUAAUACCGCGUAAGCCGCGAGGUGAGAGGCUGCCUAUUGGUGGCCGCCGAUGGAUGGGUUCGCGUCCUAUCAGCUGGUUGGUGGGGUAACGGCCUACCAAGGCGAAGACGGGUAGCCGGUCUGAGAGGAUGGCCGGCCACACUGGAACUGAGACACGGUCCAGACUCCUACGGGAGGCAGCAGUGGGGAAUAUUGGGCAAUGGGGUAACCCUGACCCAGCGACGCCGCGUGAGGGACGAAGGUUUUCGGAUCGUAAACCUCUGUUGUACGGGAAGAAGGAAUUGACGGUACCGUACGAGAAAGCCCCGGCAAACUACGUG